GUCCACGCCGUAAACGAUGGAUACUAGCUGUUGGGAGUAAUCUCAGUGGUUAAGCGAAAGUGAUAAGUAUCCCACCUGGGGAGUACGUUCGCAAGAAUGAAACUCAAAGGAAUUGACGGGGGCCCGCACAAGCGGUGGAGCAUGUGGUUUAAUUCGAUGAUACGCGAGGAACCUUACCAAGGCUUAAAUGUAGUUUGACAGAUUUGGAAACAGAUUUUUCUUCGGACAAAUUACAAGGUGCUGCAUGGUUGUCGU
rnacentral:rRNA from 1 species